ACUAACGAGGUGAGUGAGAUAAGAUCUUUCUAGUUUUGACCAACAUGGCGUAUGCGAAUAUAAUACACUUGAAUAAUUUUGAACGAAAGGGAAUACGGUUCCAAUUCCGUAACCUGUUGAGUAUCCGUUUGUUAUUAAAUAUGGGCCUCGUGCUCAUCCUGGCAACAGGAACGACCAUAAAGAAGCCGUCGAGAGAUAUCGGAAGAGUUUUCUUUUCUGUUUUAUAGCCGUACUACCAUGGAAGUCUUUCGCAGAGAGAUAUGGUAGAUGGGCUAGAAGAGCAUGACAUAUACUGUUGUGUCGAUAUUUUCUCCUCGGACCUUGAAAAUUUAUGGUGGGGACACGCAAACUUCUCAACAGGCCGUACCAAUAUCCGCAGCUGGUCUCCAAGGUGAAGAGUCUCUAGU
rnacentral:ncRNA from 1 species